rnacentral:tRNA from 1 species
UGUGGUGUAGUGGUCAGCACACUCAGCCUGUAUCUGAGAGGUCUGUGGUUCGAGUCUCAGCA